rnacentral:rRNA from 1 species
ACGACGCUACCUCAUUGUGAUGCGGGACGCAUAAAACGCCUCAGAGCACUGCUCACCUCUAGAAGUUCGAAAAAAAACGGUUAGAUUGAAUUUAAACAUAAAUUCUGCGCCUCAGGAUCUGGUCCACCCACUGGGCGAGAACUGGGCUCCUGGGCUAGUUCUGCUGGUUUUCCCUACGUUGCCUUCAUCGGUCGCGUAGGGUGGCUAGCGAGUUUACUUUGAAAAAAUUAGAGUGCUUAACGCGGGCUUAUGUCUGAAUACUCGUGCAUGGAAUAAUAGAAUAGGAUCUCGGUUCUAUUUUGUUGGUUUUCUGAUCUGAGAUAAUGGUUAAGAGGGACGGACGGGGGCAUUCGUAUCGCUGCGUGAGAGGUGAAAUUCUUGGACCGUAGCGAGACGUCCGACUGCGAAAGCAUUUGCCAAGAAUGUCUUCAUUAAUCAAGAACGAAAGUCAGAGGUUCGAAGGCGAUCAGAUACCGCCCUAGUUCUGACCGUAAACGAUACCAACUAGCGUUCCGUCGGCGGUAAAUAUGCCUUGACGGGUAGCUUCCCGGAAACGAAAGUCUUUCGGUUCCGGGGGAAGUAUGGUUGCAAAGCUGAAACUUAAAGAAAUUGACGGAAGGGCACCACCAGGAGUGGAGCCUGCGGCUUAAUUUGACUCAACACGGGAAAACUCACCUGGCCCGGACACCGUAAGGAUUGACAGAUUGAGAGCUCUUUCUUGAUUCGGUGGUUGGUGGUGCAUGGCCGUUCUUAGUUGGUGGAGUGAUUUGUCUGGUUUAUUCCGAUAACGAGCGAGACUCUAGCCUAUUAAAUAGUCAUCGGAUAAACAAGUCCGGAAGACUUCUUAGAGGGACAAGCGGUAUACAGCCGCAUGAAGUUGAGCAAUAACAGGUCUGUGAUGCCCUUAGAUGUCCAGGGCUGCACGCGCGCUACACUGGAGGAAUCAGCGUGCUGUAACCAUUGCCGAAAGGUAUUGGUAACCCCUUGAAAAUCCUCCGUGAUCGGGAUCGGGAAUUGCAAUUAUUUCCCUUGAACGAGGAAUUCCUAGUAAGUGUGAGUCAUCAGCUCACGUUGAUUACGUCCCUGCCCUUUGUACACACCGCCCGUCGCUGCCCGGGACUGAGCCGUUUCGAGAAAAGCGGGGACUGCUGUUUCGAGACCUUUCGAGGUGGAGAUUCUUUGGUGGAAACCGCCUUA